CAGCCGGAAGCGUGAGCUUUGGUAGUUAGGGUGUUACAACCGUCACACCCAGCCCUUUCUCUAUCGCACCCAACCCUGGCAUCAUCAACGGUCUCUCGCACCCUACUCGAACGGUCGCAAACCCUCGCAAACCCAAUCCUCUGUCUCGCAAACCCAACCCUCUGUCUCUGCCUCAGUGGUCUCUCUCUCAAUCAGUCUCUCGACGUGCCCAGGCAUCGGCGUGGCCUUCUACUCGCAAACCCAACCCUCUGUCUCUGUCUCAGUGGUCUCUCCCUCAAUCAGCACCAUAAACACUGAAUCUAACCCUGGAGCACUAUACAAACUACAAAGCCUCAGAUCUUGAAACUGUUGUUCUUGCACUUGUAGAUUUGUAGCUCAACACCAAAGCCAGUUUCCUGAAUGCUAUACGUGAAAAGUAUAAACAACAUAAGGUAUAAAAUUAUUAGUUCGUAGACUGGUGUUAAGAUUUGUAGCUGGACCAAGUCACAGCUUCGAGGACGGUGUGGUUGCUAAGCUACAAGCAUUCAUUCUAUAUUGAGAGCCAUAGGUUAAAGCUGUUGCAGAGGAAAUGGGCAUUGGAUUUUUGGGGAUUGGCUUCCAGCCAAAGUGGGGAAUCAAAGACAUACCUAUAAUGCUGAAGCUUAGCAACUCAUAUUAAGGGAGGCAAAAUAGUUGGGCCUAUUUGAUAUGGGAAGAUAUGAUAUCAUGAGGAAUUACAUGCCCAAAGUUGGUUCCCUUGGUCUUGACAUGAUGUUCAGAACAUGCACUGUACAGGCAGAUCUGUCAUUGAAGUUCGUGAUGGGAUGACUUUUCUUGAUUUAAUUGUUAUCCAAGUUGCGGUUAGUUUACGGUCCUCUCUUUGCUUGGCCUUUAUUUUGGAUGGUAUUCAGAUUCAGAAGGAUAUGAAUCUAUGGCCAAUUAACUGCACUUUGGAGCUCAGUUGAACAACUUUCGUUGUUUUUGGUGACUCCCAAAACAUUGGCUGAUCUGAAGGGUGGCACUUUGAUUUCUUAUGAAGGAAGAGUUCAGGCACAUAACCAUUGCUGAAUCACCACUUCUCAAUGAAGAUUCAGCUGAUUAAAUCUGUACUGUGAUGGUUGCAAAUUGGCCACAAAUUUGAUAGUUUUAAUGAUCUCCUAAGUUCUAAUGAUGAACUUAUUUUGUCCUAAUUCAAUUAUUAGUUUUGUGAAAAUAUUGUAAUUUUUUAAUUAUAAUUAUA